AAAACUGAACUCAUAGUCUGAAAAGUGUAAAUGAAGCCAAGGGAUGGUGUGGUUGGCUCCUUUCAAGCAGAGGGCAAGAUGGAGUUAGAAGGGGAAGAGAUUUAUUGAAGGUAACAUCAUAAAGGAUAAAGGUGAGAGGGAGCAGGGGUGAUGAGGGAAAGCCUUCAGACUGUGAUGCAGUUCUGAUGCCUGUGAAACAAAAGGGACGGAUUAGUGAGGGUUCUCCAGAGAAACAGAACCAAUUAGAGAUGGUUGGCUUAUUUUAAGGAAUUAGCUCAUGCAGUUGUGGCGGGUGGCAAGUCUGAAACCUGUAGGGUGGGCUGGAAACCCAGAUAAUGAUGUUCGAUAUCUGGAGGGUGCCUGGAAAUCAUCUAUCCCACCCUCACUCACACUUUACAGACAAGGAAAUCAAGGCUAGAGGUUGUUGCACGACUUGUUCAAGGUCACAUAAGGAAGUUGUGGGGAAUGAACGUUCCUGACCGCCAUCUCAGAACUUCUCAUCUUGAACAAAUGGCUUGAGGAAAAUGCAAGUUGACCCAAUCCCACGCCAAAAGAUGAAAUCACCACAUUUCAGCGAUGCAGACAAUUUAAGAUUAUUUUCCCUGUUGCCCUCUAAAAUCUUAGUUUAAGCCAGAGGCAGAUAAGCAGAAAAGGAGAUUUCCGCUCCCUUCAACCCCUCAAUCUGAUAAACAAGCAAAAAUCCUUGAUAAUUUCACAGGAGGGAUGAGUGAAUAAGUCACCAGAGACUCUGAUCAAGGAAGAAGGUACCAAGUUAAAUGUGCAUAACAAAUCCUGCUCUUGUCUAUAGUCUUUUUCCGAUCAUCACCCCAUAACUGGCUUUCUCUACCCGCUUCUUUCUUUAUUCCAGGAAAUGAUGAUAUUUAAGCCCAAAGCCAACGUCACGACUUUGAGAUUUACUCUUGAAACCCCCUCAUUUUCCCUGCAUGUACAUGAGAUACACAUGUUCAUAAACCUCUGUUUGCUUUUCUCUUGUUAGUCUGUCUUUACAGGUGUCUGUCCCAACUAAGAACUCAGAAAGGCAGAGGAAGCAUUAUUUUUCUCUCCCCUUUACUAUGAUAAGCUAUACCAUGGGAAUGAAACCCUUUUGGCGCCGUGAGGGCUCUGGAGCGGGUGGCUCCUUGUUCUAACGGAACUUCUAGCCCAGACAUGACCUGGAGUGUUGGCUUUGUUCUUAGAAGGUCACAAAGCCAGGAUUGAGGAGGGUGCAAGGUGCUCAGGAUAAACUGAAGUCCAUGGCUCUGGGCCAGUCAGGGCACUCUGUCAAGGUGCCUUUGUGAGGUGAGAGAAAGAGAAUGACUUUAUAUAUUUUCUGAAUUCUGGAAAUGAAAUUUUCCCCCAUUACUUUCACAGUGCUCUAGAUUUCACUUCCUCUCCUAGCCUUAUUCCCACUUUGGGAGAAAGAAAUGCUAAGAUCAGCAGCAAGAUUAAUAUAUCAGCAAUUCGGUUAUUGUGUGUAUUGAUUCUCAGGGGGCCAGCAGAACCUCAAAGGUGAGUGUAAGUGGAAAAUACAUGCAGGCAAUAUUCCACCAGUUGUAUUUAUGAGCCAUUUAGAAUCUCCCAGGAGGGCUCCAGUUUAAUAUCUAUCAAAGCUUUGGAUUUUCUCUUCUUCCCAAGGAGAUGCCAACAGCUGUUUAUUUUGCAAGUUCCUAUAAGGUCUGAAUAUUUCUCAUGAACGGUACCUGGAAGGAAAAUAAUGAUUGUCCUGCCUAUAAAUGAGAAAGGCCCAGUAGUCGGGGGAAAGAAAACCUGUGAUGUAUCAUCAUUCUAAUGUUGAGCAUAUGACAUUCCAAGCAUGCCAGUUACCUUCAGUCCUACAUAUGCUAUGUACAGUUGAAGCCAUCCUGAUGAAAGUCAUCCUCAAGAAUUCUGUACAGAAAUGCAGUUAUAAUUAAGCAUUAAUCAGGCUGCGCUUUGACACACUUCCUUGUAACUGUAAGUCACAAAACACUAGAUGCUGUCCAUUGCAUCCCCAUUGUUCCUGUAGUUAGGAUUUCUGACAUGACAUUUAUAAGGCUUUUGCUUAAGAAUUGCUUAAACAGAUCCUGAAUUCCCAUGGAACAGCUGACACCAACCAGUUUGAAGAUCCCUACAGAGAAAUUGAAUUAGCAAGAAGAUACAGUUUCUUCAUCACCCUGUCCCAAGACUUCACCUUGCACUCUUCAGCCAGUCAAUGAUACCAAUUCUUCAGACCACUCCAAAACCCUGAAAAUCCCUAGCUUCAAACUCCUCUGGGAGACAGCUCUGAGGUUUCCUCUUGUCUCCUCAUUUGGCAGCCCUACAAUUAAACCUCUAUUUCUACUGCAACUCAGUGUCUCCUUGUAUUGAUUCACCAUGCACACCGGACAACAGACCUAUUAUGAGAGAAAGGAAGGCAGGGAAAGAGACACAGAGAGAGAGAGAAAGAGAAAGAGAGAGAGAGAGAGAG